rnacentral:rRNA from 1 species
CUCCGACCUGAACUCAGACGUGACU